CUACCCUUCCGUGGAGUUCUUCAUCGCAGAAAUUGAGAUUAUUGCAGGAAGUGAUGUUAGCCACAAUAUGAUCGAACUGAUCCACCGUAACAUCGUGUUCCACAUAGGUUUGCUCAAGAACUUUCUACAGUGCUUCUCUGUGUGUUUCAGAAUUCAUCAACAGAGACAGUACUGAGAUCUUCGAGGGGGUUUGGAGCAGCUGCUCCACCAUAUU
rnacentral:lncRNA from 1 species